UACGGAAGGCAGCAGUGGGGAAUAUUGCACAAUGGGCGAAAGCCUGAUGCAGCUAUGCCGCGUGUAUGAAGAAGGCCUUAGGGUUGUAAAGUACUUUCAUCGGGGAGGAAAAACAAAACUAAUAAUUUUAUUUCUUGACGUUACCCGAAAAAGAAGCACCGGCUAACUCCGUGCCAGCAGCCGCGGUAAUACGGAGGGUGCUAGCGUUAAUCAGAAUUACUGGGCGUAAAGAGCACGUAGGUGGUUUUUUUAAGUCAGAUGUGAAAUCCCUGGGCUUAACCUAGGAACUGCAUUUUGAAACUGAAAUACUAGAGUAUCGUAGAGGGAGGUAGAAUUCUAGGUGUAGCGGUGAAAUGCGUAGAUAUCUGGAGGAAUACCUGUGGCGAAAGCGGCCUCCUAAACGAAUACUGACACUGAGGUGCGAAAAGCGUGGGGAAGCAAAACAGGGAUUAGAUACC
rnacentral:rRNA from 1 species